GUCAUGGCUCAGGAUGAACGCUGGCGGCGUGCUUAACACAUGCAAGUCGAGCGAAGCACUUAGGAAAGAUUCUUCGGAUGAUUUCCUAAGUGACUGAGCGGCGGACGGGUGAAGGUAACGCGUGGGUAACCUGCCUCAUACAGGGGGAUAACAGUUAGAAAUGACUGCUAAUACCGCAUAAGGCCACAGCACCGCAUGGUGCAGGGGUAAAACUCCGGUGGUAUGAGAUGGACCCGCG
rnacentral:rRNA from 1 species